rnacentral:rRNA from 1 species
UACGUAGGUGGCAAGCGUUGUCCGGAAUUAUUGGGCGUAAAGCGCGCGCAGGCGGUUCCUUAAGUCUGAUGUGAAAGCCCACGGCUCAACCGUGGAGGGUCAUUGGAAACUGGGGAACUUGGGUGCAGAAGAGGAGAGUGGAAUUCCACGUGUAGCGGUGAAAUGCGUAGAGAUGUGGAGGAACACCAGUGGCGAAGGCGACUCUCUGGUCUGUAACUGACGCUGAGGCGCGGAAGCGUGGGGAGCGAACAGG